GGGUAGCGGAGAAAUUCCAAUCGAACCUGGAGAUAGCUGGUUCUCUCCGAAAUAGCUUUAGGGCUAGCCUCAAGUGAUGAUUAUUGGAGGUAGAGCACUGUUUGGACGAGGGGCCCCUCUCGGGUUACCGAAUUCAGACAAACUCCGAAUGCCAAUUAAUUUAACUUGGGAGUCAGAACAUGGGUGAUAAGGUCCGUGUUCGAAAGGGAAACAGCCCAGACCACCAGCUAAGGUCCCAAAAUAUAUGUUAAGUGGAAAAGGAUGUGGCGUUGCCCAGACAACUAGGAUGUUGGCUUAGAAGCAGCCAUCAUUUAAAGAGUGCGUAAUAGCUCACUAGUCGAGUGACACUGCGCCGAAAAUGUACCGGGGCUAAACAUAUUACCGAAGCUGUGGAUUGUCCUUUGGACAAUGGUAGGAGAGCGUUCUAAGGGCGUUGAAGCAUGAUCGUAAGGACAUGUGGAGCGCUUAGAAGUGAGAAUGCCGGUGUGAGUAGCGAAAGACGGGUGAGAAUCCCGUCCACCGAUUGACUAAGGUUUCCAGAGGAAGGCUCGUCCGCUCUGGGUUAGUCGGGUCCUAAGCUGAGGCCGACAGGCGUAGGCGAUGGAUAACAGGUUGAUAUUCCUGUACCACCUAUAAUCGUUUUAAUCGAUGGGGGGACGCAGUAGGAUAGGCGAAGCGUGCGAUUGGAUUGCACGUCUAAGCAGUAAGGCUGAGUAUUAGG
rnacentral:rRNA from 1 species